AACGAACGCUGGCGGCAUGCCUAACACAUGCAAGUCGAACGAGACCUUCGGGUCUAGUGGCGCACGGGUGCGUAACGCGUGGGAACCUGCCCUUAGGUUCGGAAUAACUCCCCGAAAGGGGUGCUAAUACCGGAUAAUGUCUUCGGACCAAAGAUUUAUCGCCUUUGGAUGGGCCCGCGUUGGAUUAGCUUGUUGGUAGGGUAAAAGCAUACCAAGGCGACGAUCCAUAGCUGGUCUGAGAGGAUGAUCAGCCACACUGGGACUGAGACACGGCCCAGACUCCUACGGGAGGCAGCAGUGGGGAAUAUUGGACAAUGGGCGAAAGCCUGAUCCAGCAAUGCCGCGUGAGUGAUGAAGGCCUUAGGGUUGUAAAGCUCUUUUACCCGGGAUGAUAAUGACAGUACCGGGAGAAUAAGCUCCGGCUAACUCCGUG
rnacentral:rRNA from 1 species